UUAAACAGCAAGUCAAGAAGGAUUCAAUUUUUUUUUUGUGAGAAAGAAUCUUUCACUCCAACGUACGAAAACAUUUCUUGCGUAACGAGUAGCGAACAUGCUGAGGGGGAGACGUAUCGGAGUAAAAGUGUUCAUUUCAUUUAGGAAACGUAGUGUAGUAAAAGUGAAAUUUUCCAGAAAUA